UGGGGCGUCGCCAAGUGGUAAGGCACCGGAUUUUGAUUCCGGCAUUCGGAGGUUCGAAUCCUCCCGCCCCAGCCA
rnacentral:tRNA from 2 species